UGAGCAAUCUGCCCUUCUCAUCGGAAUAAGCGUUGGAAACGACGUCUAAUGCCGAAUACGACCUCCUUUCGCAUGAUCGGAGGUGGAAAGCUCCGGCGGAGAAGGAUGAGCUCGCGGCCUAUCAGCUAGUUGGUGUGGGUAAUGGCCCACAAGGCGACGACGGGUAGCCGGCCUGGAGAGGAUGGCCAGCCACAUUGGGACUGAGAUACCGGCCCAGACCUGUACGGGAG
rnacentral:rRNA from 1 species